AGAGUUGAUCAUGGCUCAGAACGAACGCUGGCGGCAGGCCUAAACCAUGCAAGUUGAACGGCCAUAGCAAUAUGGCAGUAGCGCAAGGGUGAGUAAUGUAUGGGAACGUAUCUUUUGGUGGGGAAUAUUCUUUGGAAACGAAGAGCAAUACCGCAUAAGCCCUACGGGGGAAAGAUUUAUCGCCGAUUGAGCGGCCCAUAUUGGAUUAGCUAGUUGGUUGGGUAAUGGCCGACCAAGGCUGUGAUCCAUAGCUGGUCUGAGAGGACGAUCAGCCACACUGGGACUGAGACACGGCCCAGACUCCUACGGGAGGCAGCAGGUAGGAAUAUUGGACAAUGGGGGCAACCCUGAUCCCAGCCAUGCCGCGUGAGUGUUAAGGCCUUCGGGUUGUAAAGCUCUUUUGUAUGGGAAAAUGAUGAUGGUACCAUAAGAAUAAGCACCGGCUAACUUCGUGCCAGCCGCCGC
rnacentral:rRNA from 1 species